GUAUAUAUAUAUAUAUAUAUAGUAUCAUUAGUAGGAUAAAGUAAUUUAAGCGAUUAGAUUUUCAGUCAUUUAAUAAAAAAAUGUGUGGUUAAUUAGAAUGAUUGUGAUUCUUUUAGGUGGCACAAAGAGAAAUUUUUUUUUCUCUUAGGGCAUGUUUGGUAACUCGAAAGUCGGCGAAGUGAAAAAAGUCACUUUCAUUAAAGUGACUUUUCAGCUCGAUUAUUUUGUUGCUAUAAAGUAAAAAAUUAAAACUAUAAUUUUAUUUUUUUUUUAUUAUUGAAUUAUAUAUAAAGAGGUAAAAAUGUAAACAAACGACUUAUACUUGCAAUUUAAAUU
rnacentral:lncRNA from 1 species